rnacentral:rRNA from 1 species
AUUGAACGCUGGCGGCAUGCCUUACACAUGCAAGUCGAACGGUAGCAGGUCUUCGGAUGCUGACGAGUGGCGAACGGGUGAGUAAUACAUCGGAACGUGCCUAGUAGUGGGGGAUAACUACUCGAAAGAGUGGCUAAUACCGCAUGAGAUCUACGGAUGAAAGCAGGGGAUCGCAAGACCUUGUGCUACUAGAGCGGCCGAUGGCAGAUUAGGUAGUUGGUGGGAUAAAAGCUUACCAAGCCGACGAUCUGUAGCUGGUCUGAGCGGACGAUCCGCCACGCUGGGACUGAGACACGGCCCAGACUCCUACGGGAGGCAGCAGUGGGGAAUUUUGGACACUGGGCGCAAGCCUGAUCCAGCAAUGCCGCGUGCAGGAUGAAGGCCUUCGGGUUGUAAACUGCUUUUGUACGGAACGAAAAGCCCCGGGUUAAUACCCUGGGGUCAUGACGGUACCGUAAGAAUAAGCACCGGCUAACUACGUGCCAGCCGCCGCGGUAA